rnacentral:rRNA from 1 species
GACGAACGCUGGCGGCGUGCCUAAUACAUGCACGUCGAGCGGAGCGGCGGACGGGUGAGUAAUGCCUAGGAAUCUGCCUGGUAGUGGGGGAUAACGUCCGGACACGGGCGCUAAUACCGCAUAAUAUCAGAUGAGCCUAGGUGGGUUUAGAUAGUGGGGGGGGUAAAGGCCUAAAAAGGCGACGAUCCGUAACUGGUCUGAGAGGAUGAUCAGUCACAAUGGAACUGAGACACGGUCCAGACUCCUACGGGAGGCAGCAGUGGGGAAUAUUGGACAAUGGGCGAAAGCCUGAUCCAGCCAUGCCGCGUGUGUGAAGAAGGUCUUCGGAUUGUAAAGCACUUUAAGUUGGGAGGCGUUACCAACAGAAUAAGCACCGGCUAACUACGUGCCAGCAGCCGCGGUAAUAC